CCGGCAAUUUGGCCUUUUCCCAGCUGUCACUCAAGCUGCCCCUUCUCCGGGUCGUGCUGCUGUAAGAUUAUCCUCUUCCUCCCCCCGCGCGCCCGCCCGGGUUCGCCUGCCUGAGCCGGGGAGGAUGUCGCUGGUAAUAAGGCAACUGCUCUGAAUCAGCGGGCCCAGCCAGCGCGCCUCCUGCCUCCCUCGCCAUCUUGGAAUAAUCAGUGGCAUUAACUGAGGUCGGGGGAACAGGCUCUCGGGUUAGUGGUGGUGGGAGGCUGUGAAAAUAGCGGGCAGCCAUUCGGGGAAACCUGAUCGCUAUUCAUCAAGACGAGGAGGAAGAAGAUGAGGACGAGGAGGAUGGAAUGGGACCCUCCGCUCUGCGCUCUGCGCUCUGGCUGCCACCGGCUUGGCCUGCAUCUCUGAUCCAGGAAAAAGGCGACGGUCACAACAAGUAUUUUCAAAUUGAUCGCGGCGGCGGCGAUCAAGCCUGGAGGGGGAAACUUAGCCCAGUCCGUCCCCCCACAAAAAAGCCCACCCCAUCUCACUCUCUUCCCCCACCCCACCCGCCCAAUUUAGGAUUUCGUGCCCUGCCUGAGCUCGGCUGGUUACUGCCAAUCCCCCAAGGCAAACGGCUCUUGCUCCUUAUUCCAACCAUCUGUUUCUCUUUACUCCCUUGUUGUUGUUUGUACUUGUUGUCUUGUCUAGGGUUUUGAGAAUGCAGAGAACCGGAGUGUUUGGGAGGCUGGGGUGGACAGAGAGAGAAACUUUCUGUAAGGGGGGAAAUGUUCAAGCUCCGAACUUGCAAACUGUUUCUUAAGAGUUUAAGCAAAGUAAUUUGUGGGUGCUAGAAUGAUACUCUUAGGGUCGCUGACCUCAUUUCCUGCUUCUUUCUUCUUCGUCCUCAACUCGGGAGAGGAUACAUGCUGAGAUGCAGAAGCAAGCAAGUCUCAAUUCUAUUUAACUAAGGUGGAGAUGCACUAAGAUCUUCCCUAUCCAGUUGUAUUUCCUGUAAUAAACGUAGCUUUCUUAUUUGCCUAAA